rnacentral:lncRNA from 1 species
CCAAUCUUAUAAAUCGUGAAGAAGAAGUCGAGUGUAGGCUCCACACCUAAUUCAUGGCAGAAGGCGAUGAAGGCCAAGAUGUGUAUGUAGGAAUUUGGCACCAGUUGGGUGAACCCAACACCCAGAAACCCUAGUAUGGUUACUAUGAAGGCAUGAAGGGGGAAUCGGAUACCCUUCUCCAAGAUAGUUACCGGGACAGCCGUACAUCCCUCUGGUCGUUGGUACAUCCGCUCCUCUGACCUAGGAGCUCUCACCAAAUGGGUGUCAGGGAUAUGGCAGCGAGCUCGGAUCCUCUUCAAAUCUAUUUCAGUGACAGUCGAUGGAG